rnacentral:rRNA from 1 species
ACUCCUACGGGAGGCAGCAGUGGGGAAUAUUGCACAAUGGGGGAAACCCUGAUGCAGCCAUGCCGCGUGUGUGAAGAAGGCCUUCGGGUUGUAAAGCACUUUCAGUAGGGAGGAAGGUAGUGUAGUUAACACCUGCACUAUUUGACGUUACCUACAGAAGAAGCACCGGCUAACUCCGUGCCAGCAGCCGCGGUAAUACGGAGGGGGUUAGCGUUGUUCGGAAUUACUGGGCGUAAAGCGCACGUAGGCGGACUAUUAAGUUAGAGGUGAAAUCCCAGGGCUCAACCCUGGAACUGCCUUUAAUACUGGUAGUCUUGAGUUCGAGAGAGGUGAGUGGAAUUCCGAGUGUAGAGGUGAAAUUCGUAGAUAUUCGGAGGAACACCAGUGGCGAAGGCGGCUCACUGGCUCGAUACUGACGCUGAGGUGCGAAAGUGUGGGAGCAAACAGGAUUAGAUACCCUGGUAGGUGA